UGGGGAAUAAGUAUUAGUAAUAUUAUCCGUGAACUUCUUUUCCCGGAGAAGAAGCAAUGACGGUAUCUGGGGAAUAAGCAUCGGCUAACUCUGUGCCAGCAGCCGCGGUAAUACAGAGGAUGC
rnacentral:ncRNA from 1 species